rnacentral:lncRNA from 1 species
UUCACAGGACGAGUGAACUUCCAUCCAUUGUUGUAAGUGUCAAAACACUGCCUGAAGAGGCUCUCUUGACAACACAUGGACUUUCAUAGCUUAGGGGUUCACUUGCCCCUGGAAUCGGGCACGAAAGACAAGACUUUCUUGAGCACAAGGUCACCUCCCUGUAACACACGAGGCUUGACCUUCUUGUCGAAUGCUUUUUCGCUCUCUGCUGAUAUGACUGACCAUGACACAUGGCAGUUGAUCUCUUCUUUUCGAUCGAAUUCAGCAUCAGUCAACUUGGGACUUUGAGGGUGCUAUUUUCUUUUAUUUCUUUCAUUCUUUUUCUUUCUUUUGAUUUCUUUUGAUUUUUUU